rnacentral:rRNA from 1 species
AUGGCAUCGUCGCGGGUGAUGGCCGCGUCGUCGCAGCCGCCGCCGUCCGGCUCCUCCGAUCUCGCGCGCUUCCGGAGCGCCAGCGGCAUCGGAUCCAUGAACAUGGACGACAUCCUCCGCAACAUAUACGGCGAGGCGCCCCCGUCCGGCGCCGGCGCCCCGGCGGACCCCGCCCCCGCGCCGGAGGCCGCCGCCCGCCGGACGGCUGAGGAGGUCUGGAAGGAGAUCUCGGCCACCGGGGGCCUCUCCGCCCCCGCCCCCGCCACCGCCCCCGCCGGCGCCGGAGGCGGCGAGGCGGGCGGCGCGGCCGUGAUGACCCUGGAGGAUUUCCUCGCCAGGGAGGACGACGGUAGGGUUACGGCGGUGGAGGGGAACAUGGCGGUAGGGUUCCCCGAUGUGGGGGCGGAUGUGGGGGCGGGUGUGGCCGGAGGGCGACGACGAGGUGGCGGUGCCGGCGGCGCCGGAAGGGCGAGGAAGAGGGCGCUGAUGGAUCCCAUGGACCGCGCCGCGACGCAGCGGCAGAAGCGCAUGAUCAAGAACCGCGAAUCUGCGGCCAGGUCCAGGGAGAGGAAGCAGGCUUACAUCGCAGAACUGGAGGCACAGGUCACACAGCUUGAGGAGGAACAUGCCGAACUGCUUAGAGAACAGGAGGAGCAAAACGAGAAGAGGCUUAACGAGCUCAAGGAACAAGCAUUCCAAGUCGUCGUAAGGAAAAAACCAUCGCAAGAUCUUAGAAGGACCAACUCGAUGGAAUGGUAG